rnacentral:rRNA from 1 species
CUUACGGGGGGCUGCAGUGGGGAAUUUUGGACAAUGGGGGCAACCCUGAUCCAGCCAUUCCGCGUGAGUGAAGAAGGCCUUCGGGUUGUAAAGCUCUUUCGGCCGGGAAGAAAUCGCAUCUCCUAAUACGGGGUGUGGAUGACGGUACCGGAAGAAGAAGCACCGGCUAACUACGUGCCAGCAGCCGCGGUAAUACGUAGGGUGCGAGGGUUAAUCGGAAUUACUGGGCGGAAAGCGAAGACAGGCGGGAAAUCCCCGGGCUUAACCGGGGAACUGCGUUUGUGACUGGUGGGCUUGAGUGCGGCAGAGGGGGGUGGAAUUCCACGUGUAGCAGUGAAAUGCGUAGAGAUGUGGAGGAACACCGAUGGCGAAGGCAGCCCCCUGGGUCGACACUGACGCUCAUGCACGAAAGCGUGGGGAGCAAACAGGAUUAGAUACCCCUGUAGUC